CCACUCCGAAGAAUAGGGGGCACACAAAUAUGGCAGUAGUCGGUGUGAAACAUUGUAGGAGCAACGGCAACAUGCAUGCCCUAAAAGUCCACUCCUCAGACAAUGGAGCGACCACCUGAUUUCUCCACCAAGUUAGAAUACCAACCGGUAUACAAUCGUCCAUUGAAUCCUUGUAAACUUAAGGGACCUAAGAACAAAAUCAUCGUUAGGAGCAACGAUAUCGCAGUCGCCUGUAUCAAGCCUGUCCAUCGAAGGCCCAGCAUUUCCCAGAUGGUUGCCUGUUAGUCCAAAAUACAAGGGUGCUGGUGAAACAAGAGUCAUGACAAAUACGCUAAAAAAUCGUUUCUUUAUAGUCGAUGGAUGCUCUCUGAAACACAAGAUGUCGAGAGUAAAAUUUAACGCUAAAGUAACAUCAAAGGUCGUUUAUAAGUAAAUAUGUUAAUUAUUUGUAAUAUAAUUCUCAACAGUAAUUGAUAAUUAUUUAUCUUAGAUAAACUAUAUGAUUGUCUUAUACGCCUUAUAAUUGUUAUAGUGAUUGAAAAUACGUUUGCUAUAUUAGUUUGCAAAUAUAAUAACUUGUUUAACAAUAAGCCUAUUGAUGAUUAAUUUUUAUUAUUUAAAUACGUCAUAUAUAGACAUAAUUUAAAUAAAGGAGUAGGAGGGAAAAGUAAAAUUAUCAUUGAUGUGUUGCAAUAAACAUCAUGAAACAUCUUA